UACGAAGGGGGCUAGCGUUGCUCGGAAUUACUGGGCGUAAAGGGCGCGUAGGCGGCGCAACAAGUCACUUGUGAAAUCUCCGGGCUUAACCCGGAGCGGCCAAGUGAUACUGUCGUGCUAGAGUGCGGAAGGGGCUACUGGAAUUCUCGGUGUAGCGGUGAAAUGCGUAGAUAUCGAGAGGAACACCUGCGGCGAAGGCGGGUAGCUGGGCCGACACUGACGCUGAUGCGCGAAAGCCAGGGGAGCGAACGGG
rnacentral:rRNA from 1 species